AAGGAUGACAUGCAUUGUCACAAAGGAAAGAAGGAUGGAAGGAAGGAUCACAAGCAUUGUCACAAAGGAAAGAAGGAUGGAAGGAAGGAUCACAUGCAUUGUCACAAAGGAAAGAACGAUGGAAGGAAGAAUCACAUGCAUUGUCACAAAGGAAAGAAGGAUGGAAGGAAGGAUCACAUGCAUUGUCACAAAGGAAAGAAGGAUGGAAGGAAGGAUCACAAGCUUUGUCACAAAGGAAAGAAGGAUGGAAGGAAGGAUCACAUGC
ensembl:lncRNA